rnacentral:rRNA from 1 species
GAGCAGUGGCGAACGGGUGAGUAACACGUGAGUAACCUGCCCCUGACUCUGGAAUAAGCGCUGGAAACGGCGUCUAAUACCGGAUAUGAGACACCGCCGCAUGGUGAGUGUCUGGAAAGUUUUUCGGUCUGGGAUGGACUCGCGGCCUAUCAGCUUGUUGGUGAGGUAAUGGCUCACCAAGGCGAUGACGGGUAGCCGGCCUGAGAGGGCGACCGGCCACACUGGGACUGAGACACGGCCCAGACUCCUACGGGAGGCAGCAGUGGGGAAUAUUGCACAAUGGGCGAAAGCCUGAUGCAGCGACGCCGCGUGAGGGAUGACGGCCUUCGGGUUGUAAACCUCUUUCAGCAGGGAAGAAGCGCAAGUGACGGUACCUGCAGAAGAAGCACCGGCUAACUACGUGCCAGCAGCCGCGGUAAUACGUAGGGUGCGAGCGUUGUCCGGAAUUAUUGGGCGUAAAGAGCUUGUAGGCGGUUUGUCGCGUCUGCUGUGAAAAUCCGGGGCUCAACCCCGGACUUGCAGUGGGUACGGGCAGACUAGAGUGUGGUAGGGGAGACUGGAAUUCCUGGUGUAGCGGUGAAAUGCGCAGAUAUCAGGAGGAACACCGAUGGCGAAGGCAGGUCUCUGGGCCACUACUGACGCUGAGAAGCGAAAGCAUGGGGAGCGAACAGGAUUAGAUACCCUGGUAGUCCAUGCCGU